GCGCAUAAUGAAUGGCCCAAAACUUAAUUUUGUAUAUAGCCUAUCAUUCUUUCCUUCCUCUCUCCUUUGAUGGGAAUGUAAUAUAAUACACUUGAACAACUUGUUGGGCUAGCACAAAGGGAUCAUUGACAUAUGCUUUUGAUCCAUGUUUCAUUUCAAUAAGCCCGUGCCAUGGAUCAACAUUCAUACAAUUGUUGAUAUCAAACCAUCGGCACUUAAACAUAAUGACAUUAUUACCUCCAAGGUAGGUUAACUUGAUCAUUUCUUUGAGGAUUCCAUAGUAGUGACUCUCCGUCUCUGCCCACCAGCUACCCUUUAUAUACCCACUACUGUUCAUUGUACUCUUAUGAUAUCCAUAUUACUACGUGUGAAAUUUGAAACCAUUUACAUUACAGCUAUUAUAAUAUGUCAUGUACUUUAUUGGUCUGUAACCUAAUGGUCUUAGCUUCUUAGGUAUGGAUUCAUCCCC
rnacentral:lncRNA from 1 species